rnacentral:tRNA from 1 species
ACCCCCGUAGCCCAACUGGCAGAGGCAGGGCCCUUAAAAGGCUCCACGGUGUGGGUUCGAGUCCCACCGGGGGUA